GAGGGAGACGGGAGGAGGGGAUGCAGGACGCUUAGAAAGACACGUAUAGGGAAAAUAGGGAGGGGGCUGCAUAGAGGGCUAGCAUUAUAGAUAUGCCAUGCCAUAUAAAAAAUAAGUUAAAAACUUUCCAGUUGAUUGGGGAAGUUUUUGGAGGGCGUUUGGGGGAGGAGGGAGGGAGCUUUCUCAAGGUAUAAGAAAGUCUGCAGAGGCGUAUUUCUGGGCAGCCAGUCUUCCAGAAGUUAUUCUGCUGGCUGUCACUGUGCACAGAGAAUAAACUGUUUUCCUCCAAAGAAGGAUCUUUCCUGGUGCUUUCUUUUGCUCUCUCUCUGGAUCUGAGGACGCGGGCCAACGAUUCCCUGGCAUGGACUAGGCUCAGCCUACAUCUUGGUUCCCUGACCGGGAAUCUGCCCCACCUCAGAGGGCUGGGGAGAGCCAGGCUCGACCUUGGUGGACAGCUCGGAUCGGCAAUUGCAGGCUCCACGCGCACCCUGCCAAUUUGUGGGGAGCCAGCCACACCGCUCCGGAGCAAGGACCCAGGUCGAGGGAGGAAAGAGGAC